rnacentral:rRNA from 1 species
UGAGUGAUGAAGGCCUUAGGGUUGUAAAGCUCUCUCGCACGCGACGAUGAUGACGGUAGCGUGAGAAGAAGCCCCGGCUAACUUCGUGCCAGCAGCCGCGGUAAUACGAAGGGGGCUAGCGUUGUUCGGAAUUACUGGGCGUAAAGGGCGCGUAGGCGGCCUGUUUAGUCAGAAGUGAAAGCCCCGGGCUCAACCUGGGAAUAGCUUUUGAUACUGGCAGGCUUGAGUUCCGGAGAGGAUGGUGGAAUUCCCAGUGUAGAGGUGAAAUUCGUAGAUAUUGGGAAGAACACCGGUGGCGAAGGCGGCCAUCUGGACGGACACUGACGCUGAGGCGCGAAAGCGUGGGGAGCAAACAGGAUUAGAUACCCUGGUAGUCCACGCCGUAAACGA